GACGAACGCUGGCGGCGUGCUUAACACAUGCAAGUCGAGCGAUGAAGUUCCUUCGGGAAUGGAUUAGCGGCGGACGGGUGAGUAACACGUGGGUAACCUGCCUCAUAGAGGGGAAGAGCCUUCCGAAAGGAAGAUGAAUACCGCAUAAGAUUUUAGUACCGCAGGGUAUACCAAUUAAAGGAAUAAUCCGCUAUGAGAUGGACCCGUGUCGCAUUAGCUAGUUGGUGAGGUAACGGCUCACCAAGGCGACGAUGAGUAGCCGACCUGAGAGGGUGAUCGGCCAGAGUGGGGCUGAGACACGGCCCAGACUCCUACGGGAGGCAGCAGUGGGGAAUAUCGCACAAUGGGGGAAACCCUGCUGCAGCAACGCCGCGUGAGUGAUGACGGUCUUCGGAUUGUAAAGCUCUGUCUUCAGGGACGAUAAUGACGGUACCUGAGGAGGAAGCCACGGCUAACUACGUGCCAGCAGCCGCGGUAAGAC
rnacentral:rRNA from 1 species